ACGAAGGGGGCUAGCGUUGCUCGGAAUCACUGGGCGUAAAGGGCGCGUAGGCGGCCUUGUAAGUUGGGGGUGAAAGCCCGUGGCUCAACCACGGAAUGGCCUUCGAUACUGCAUGGCUUGAGUGUGGUAGAGGUUGGUGGAACUGCUUGUGUAGCGGUGAAAUGCGUAGAUAUUAGCAAGAACACCGGUGGCGAAGGCGGCUAACUGGACCAUCACUGACGCUGAGGCGCGAAAGCGUGGGGAGCAAACAG
rnacentral:rRNA from 1 species